rnacentral:rRNA from 1 species
AGUGAACGCUGGCGGUAGGCCUAACACAUGCAAGUCGAACGGCAGCACAGUAAGAGCUUGCUCUUACGGGUGGCGAGUGGCGGACGGGUGAGGAAUACAUCGGAAUCUACUUUUUCGUGGGGGAUAACGUAGGGAAACUUUCGCUAAUACCGCAUACGACCUACGGGUGAAAGCAGGGGAUCUUCGGACCUUGCGCGAUUGAAUGAGCCGAUGUCGGAUUAGCUAGUUGGCGGGGUAAAGGCCCACCAAGGCGACGAUCCGUAGCUGGUCUGAGAGGAUGAUCAGCCACACUGGAACUGAGACACGGUCCAGACUCCUACGGGAGGCAGCAGUGGGGAAUAUUGGACAAUGGGCGCAAGCCUGAUCCAGCCAUACCGCGUGGGUGAAGAAGGCCUUCGGGUUGUAAAGCCCUUUUGUUGGGAAAGAAAAGCAGCAGGUUAAUACCCCGCUGUUCUGACGGUACCCAAAGAAUAAGCACCGGCUAACUUCGUG